GCUUUCUCCACCCCAUCUACCCUGUGGUGAUGGCCACCCCGGGAGGCAAGGGUCGGUGGGGAAUUGUCCCCUCCCCUGCACUGCUGGUGGUGGGGAAAGGUAGGCCUGACCUGCAGCCAUCCGCCUGUACCUGGACAUUCUCACCUGCCGGCUGGCUCUCUCCUUCUCUAGGACUGUUCUAGAAUCCCUGGAAAAGUCUGGGAAACACGAGCUCCACACAGAUUCAUCCCUGUGAGCUUCGGGAUCCUAAUGUGUCAGAUGCGGCAGCUCACACCUGGCCUCCACUCGCUCCCUCCGGGAGCCCUUGCCUCCUGAGGCCAAGGAGGCCUUCGCCCUUCAGUUCUGUCCGUGUGGAGGAGACCGUGCCUGCCGGGUCGCCGGCGCAUCCCGCAGACUCCCGCGAGUGUGUGUAGGUGUGCGUCUGCGAGGAGGGUCUGCUCCUGAUGAAGCGGUUUCUGUCCUACAACAACCCCGAGGGCACAAACACCUGGAGCAGAGGGAGACCCGGGGACUCCUUGCCCCAUCGUACCUGGGCGCUGCGGGCUGCGUGGUGGUUUGUCUCCCAAAGGUCCCGAAGUCCCGACCAGGUCGGACUGGGUGGGAUCUGUGAUGCUUGGGGGCGGGAUGACGGCUGGAGACCCCUCUCCGCACAGCGGGGCGGGGGGCGGGGUCUGCAGGGCCGCCCCUGCACGUGCGUCCCCACCAAACCCGAGGGCGCCCGGCUCCACGCGCACGGUAGCGCGGAAACGGCGAGAAAUGGGAGGUGCGCAUCUCCCGCGCUGCCGGGUGCCUUCCUGCGACUUCAAGUUUGGGACCCGCGUCCGCGUUUUUGUUUCCGGGAACCUUUAGGCGGGUGCGGGGCGCUUCGCCAGGGCCCUGCCCAGCUCACGGACCCCGCCUGGAGCACCCGGCUCCCCAGCGCCGCGCCUCGGCCGUGCCCCACGCCUGCUCCUGCGCCCCGGGCCGCACGGAACGGUGUCACCCCAGCGGCCCGCAGCGCCGGAACUUGGGGGCGCGGUGAGUGGGGGCGGGGCGCCGGGCCGGCAGGCGGUGGCCGCGUGGGGUGCCCGUUUCUGGCACUAGAAGUCCUUUCUCAUCUCCUUGAAUCUGGGGCUGCGUGGGACCUUUGAGCUCUCCAGGCUGACAAUGUCGUGGAGACGACAGGUCCAGACCCGGGACACGUCCGUCACCCGCGCCCGGGACGCAGGUUUCUUCUUCCCUGUUCCCGGGGAGAGGCCCGGGGGCUGGGCGUCGCGGCGAGCGUCCCCGUGGAUUCCGUUUGUUUUCUUACAGGACCCCCUCGGCCCGCCUGGGCUUCGGUCCCGCCGCGGACAGGCGAGGAGCCUGCGCAAGAGUCGCGAUGGCCGUGGAGCCCCGGACAUCGGCUCUGGGAGGCGCGCCCCGGGACUCGGCGGGGGGCGGAGGCGAGGGGCGCUGCGCAAAGUCGGCGCUCUGGCCAGGGAAGCGCCAGCCCGGGCAGGCGGCGGCGGUGGAGGGGCACGGGGCCCGGACCCUGUGCCCGGGAAACCUGCUCCACGGCCAGGCGCGCGCCAUUGCCCUGCAGCGCGCCCCGACGCGGCGGCCCUGGCCUCCGGCAGUGAGCACACCCCAUCCCCCGACUGACCGCGCAGAUCUGGGGGGAUUUCGAGAUGUUGCGGGAGUCUUGCAGCCAAGCCCCGGGAAGGAGGGGGCUGGAAGCCCGCGCGACCUGCUCGUCCGGUCCUGGGUGAGCGCAGGUAAACGCUUGUGUUCUCUGUGUGAAAGUUCGAAAAGGAGGCGAGAACUAAACCAAAUGUUUUAAUAAUGAUGAUGAUGAUGAUGAUGGAAGCCCUGUUGAAUUGUGUGGCCUCCAAGUCAUAAGGAGAGUAAUUUCC
rnacentral:lncRNA from 1 species